rnacentral:rRNA from 1 species
GGAGGGUGCGAGCGUUAAUCGGAAUUACUGGGCGUAAAGCGCGCGUAGGCGGCUUGGUCAGUCGGAUGUGAAAGCCCCGGGGCUUAACCUGGGAAUUGCAUUCGAUACUGCCAGACUAGAGUAUGGGAGAGGGAAGCGGAAUUUCCGGUGUAGCGGUGAAAUGCGUAGAUAUCGGAAGGAACACCAGUGGCGAAGGCGGCUUCCUGGCCCAAUACUGACGCUGAGGUGCGAAAGCGUGGGGAGCGAACAGGAUUAGAUACCCUGGUAGUCCACGCCGUAAACGAUGAGAACUAGAUGUCGGGAGGAUUUGCCUCUCGGUGUCGCAGCUAACGCGUUAAGUUCUCCGCCUGGGGAGUACGCCGGCAAACGGUAA